AUUGAACGCUGGCGGCAGGCCUAACACAUGCAAGUCGAGCGGAUGACGGGAGCUUGCUCCUUGAUUCAGCGGCGGACGGGUGAGUAAUGCCUAGGAAUCUGCCUGGUAGUGGGGGACAGCGUUUCGAAAGGAACGCUAAUACCGCAUACGUCCUACGGGAGAAAGCAGGGGACCUUCGGGCCUUGCGCUAUCAGAUGAGCCUAGGUCGGAUUAGCUAGUUGGUGGGGUAAUGGCUCACCAAGGCGACGAUCCGUAACUGGUCUGAGAGGAUGAUCAGUCACACUGGAACUGAGACACGGUCCAGACUCCUACGGGAUGCAGCAGUGGGGAAUAUUGGACAAUGGGCGAAAGCCUGAUCCAGCCAUGCCGCGUGUGUGAAGAAGGUCUUCGGAUUGUAAAGCACUUUAAGUUGGGAGGAAGGGCAGUAAGUUAAUACCUUGCUGUUUUGACGUUACCGACAGAAUAAGCACCGGCUAACUCUGUGCCAGCCGCCGCGGUAAGAC
rnacentral:rRNA from 1 species